rnacentral:lncRNA from 1 species
GAAGUCCCGGAAAAAAAGUAGAUGAAAAACGUUCCUCUCAAGAACGUGUCUUUCUCCCUUUUCCUUUUUUUUAUAAAAAAAUUCACCCUCUUAUUUUCAAAAAUAAAUGCCAGUUUUUUACCACAAAUGAUGCACACCUGCCACAUUUUCAUUAGUCUCUUUUUUCAAUUGAUGCCCCUUGUACAAUUUUUUGAAAUCCAACUUAUCUGCCAACGUAAAUGUAUUGUGGUAACAAAAAAAAGAGAGAGACUACUAUUCCAAUAGUGCUCUCAUGCGUGUCCCCCUGGUGGUCCUCAAAAUUGUUUUUUCAAACCCACAACUGGAUAUUUGAGAGAGGAUCCAAUGUGAGGAUUAUGAAUAAGUGAUUGCCAAGUGUCACAUGCUUGUUGGCAAAUUAAAAAUAUUUUUUCCAACCUUUUUAUUGAUUAAAUAAAAUUAUAAAAUAUAACUUUGAAAAAUUAAAUUAAAAUAAAAAUAAAAACGAAAAUUCAAACCAAAUGAACGAUUAAUUCUAAAUAAUUAUGUCGAUCAUCUUGACUAAAAAAUAAAAAUAAACGGAUAAAAAAGCGAAUAAAAAUUUGACACAAAAAUG